UACAGAGGUCUCAAGCGUUGUUCGGAUUCAUUGGGCGUAAAGGGUGUGUAGGUGGCGCCGUAAGUCGGGUGUGAAAUUUCGGAGCUUAACUCCGAAACUGCAUUCGAUACUGCGGUGCUUGAGGACUGGAGAGGAGACUGGAAUUCAUGGUGUAGCAGUGAAAUGCGUAGAGAUCAUGAGGAACACCCGUGGCGAAGGCGGUUCUCUGGGACGGUACUGACGCUGAGACGCGAAAGCGUGGGGAGCGAACAGG
rnacentral:rRNA from 1 species